CCUACGGGUGGCAGCAGUGAGGAAUAUUGGUCAAUGGGCUUACGCCUGAUCGAGCCACGUCGCGUGAGGGAAGACUGCCCUAUGGGUGGUAAACCUCUUUUGUCAGGGAGUAAGGCCGGCUACGUGUCGCCGGACUGAGUGUAGCUGAAGAAAAAGCAUCGUCUAACUCGGUGCCCGCAGCCGCGGUCAUACGGAGUAUGCGAGCGUUCUCCGGAUUUAUUGGGUUUAAAGGAUGCGUAGGCGGAAUGCCAAGUCAGCGGUAACAUCGCGGGGUUCAACGUCGCUGCGCCGUUGAAACUGGCGUUCUUGAGUGGGCGAGAAGAAUGUGGAAUGCGUGGUGUAGCGGUGAAAUGCAUAGAUAUAACGCAGAACUCCGGUGGCGAAGGCAGCAUACCGGCGCCCAACUGACGCUGAAGCACGAAAGCGUGGGUAUCGAACAGGAUUAGAUACCCCUGUAGUC
rnacentral:rRNA from 1 species